ensembl:snRNA
GUGCUGUAUGAAAGGAGAGAAGGUUAGCACUCCCCUUGACAAGGAAGAGGCCCUUGGGCCUGACAACACACAAGCAGUUAAGGCAUUGCCACCUACUUCUUUCAUCUAACCAUCGUUUUUU